rnacentral:rRNA from 1 species
GAUAAACGCUGGCGGCGCACAUAAGACAUGCAAGUUGAACGGACUUAAUCGAAAUAUUUAUCUUUUGACGCGGUUAGUGGCGGACUGGUGAGUAACGCGUAAGGAACCUGCCUAUUAGAGGGGAAUAACAGUGAGAAAUCAUUGCUACUACCGCAUAUGCCAUAGAUAUCACAUGAUAACAGUGGGACAGGCGCAAUCCGCUAAUAGAUGGCCUUGCGUCUGAUUAGGUAGUUGGUGGGGUAACGGCCUACCAAGUCGACGAUCAGUAGCCGGACUGAGAGGUUGAACGGCCACAUGGGGAAUGAGGUACGGCCCAGACUCCUACGGGAGGCAGCAGGCGGGGAUAUUGCGCAAAGGAGGAAACUCUGACGCAAGGACGCCGCGUAGAGGAAGAAGGUUUUCGGAUUGUAAACUAUUGUCGUUAGAGAAGGGAAAGGACAGUACCUAAGGAGGAAGCUCCGGCUAACUACGUG